CCCGGUCCCCUCAAGCUCUGCUCCCGCCGCCGCCAUUGCAGGGGCCGAGUCCGCCCGCUCCCCGCCGCCGUCUGCCCGUUUCCCUGGGAGAAAUCCCGGCCAGGACCUGAACGGGAAGGUCCCGGCCGCGCUUCCCGGCCCCAACAGCGUCUGCCGAGGCUCCGGCAGCGGGGACACAGCUCCGCCGGCUCUCAAAGCGGUGGUGGCCAGAGCGGCGCCUCAGCCGUACGCGAGAGUGGGGCCAGGCUGAGGGGCAGGGCCCCGAGGGCAGGCCCAAUCUGAGCGGGUUGAGAUUGGCGGGACCGCGCCCGGGUUGAAAGGUCGGCUGUGAUUGGACAGGGCGGAGAAAGGCGGGCCGGGAUUGGCAAACUUGGCGUCCCGUGGGUUUCUCGGGCGCGGCAACGAAUAUUAACCGUACACGAGCAUGUCUCUGCUAACAAAGUUGGUUGAACGGAUCACUUCCAUGCAGCAAUGUAAUCGAUACGCAAAUAUUCAAGUCUUACUAAAUUUCUCAGUGAUCUUCAUCACUUACUUGUAGUUCUACAGAGAGAGGAUAACGGUAUGGAGUGCAUGGCAGAAGCAAGCAUGCACUUAUUCUGUGUCACAGUAUUAGAACACAAUAGGGAUAGCAUUAAAAAGCUCUUUCCACUGUGAUUCCACUGAAAGUUUCUUCAUAUCUUUUUUGAACUCCAAGCAAACAUCACAUUCAAGUAUCUGAUUCUCAACAUUGCCAUUUCAGGAAAACCACUAUGAAACCUGUCAAUAAGUGAAGUUCCCCUUUAAGCCAUUUACAACACAGCUACUGCAGUUGCCCCCACCUUUUGAAAAACUUGUAUGUUAAAAUUUAAAACAUCAAAAGAAGUCAGACAAAAAUAGAAUUGCAAAACAACUUUAAAGAAGAAAGUCAAGUGAAGGAAUUUAGUAUAUACUUUGUUCCAUAUAUACAAAUAAAGAACUGUGAUUCUUAAAUACUUGAAGUAUGAAAAAAAAAUAAGUGAACUAUUAUGAAUAAACAGACAUCUUUGAAAAUCCAUCUUUUAAUAGAAAGUGCUUAAAUUAUAUUCUUAAAACAAUGCUGUGAGCAGCACAGUAACAGGCUGACCAAGUAUCUUGCUGGCUUUUUUUUUUUUUAAAUAUGCAAAAAACUCAGGGGAAAAAAAAACCUUCUUA